rnacentral:rRNA from 1 species
UACGGAGGGGGCGAGCGUUAUUCGGAAUUAUUGGGCGUAAAGGGCGCGUAGGCGGCUGUACAAGUCAAAGGUGAAAUCCCUCGGCUCAACUGAGGAACUGCCUUUGAAACUGUACGGCUUGAGGCCGGGAGGGGGUAGCGGAAUUCCCAGUGUAGCGGUGAAAUGCGUAGAUACUGGGAGGAACACCAGUGGCGAAGGCGGCUACCUGGACCGGUUCUGACGCUGAGGCGCGAAAAGCGUUGGGUAG